CGUACACUCCUACGGGAGGCAGCAGUGGGGAAUAUUGGACAAUGGGCGCAAGCCUGAUCCAGCCAUGCCGCGUGAGUGAUGAAGGCCCUAGGGUUGUAAAGCUCUUUCACCGGUGAAGAUAAUGACGGUAACCGGAGAAGAAGCCCCGGCUAACUUCGUGCCAGCAGCCGCGGUAAUACGAAGGGGGCUAGCGUUGUUCGGAUUUACUGGGCGUAAAGCGCACGUAGGCGGACUAUUAAGUCAGGGGUGAAAUCCCGGGGCUCAACCCCGGAACUGCCUUUGAUACUGGUAGUCUUGAGUUCGAGAGAGGUGAGUGGAAUUCCGAGUGUAGAGGUGAAAUUCGUAGAUAUUCGGGGGAACACCAGUGGCGAAGGCGGCUCACUGGCUCGAUACUGACGCUGAGGUGCGAAAGCGUGGGGAGCAAACAGGAUUAGAUACCCGUGUAGUCCCA
rnacentral:rRNA from 1 species